rnacentral:rRNA from 1 species
AUUGAACGCUGGCGGCAUGCUUUACACAUGCAAGUCGAACGGUAACAGGGAGCUUGCUCCGCUGACGAGUGGCGAACGGGUGAGUAAUGCGUCGGAACGUGCCGAGUAGUGGGGGAUAACGCAUCGAAAGGUGUGCUAAUACCGCAUACGUACUGAGGUAGAAAGUGGGGGACCUUCGGGCCUCACGCUAUUCGAGCGGCCGACGUCUGAUUAGCUAGUUGGUGAGGUAAAGGCUCACCAAGGCGACGAUCAGUAGCGGGUCUGAGGGGAUGAUCCGCCACACUGGGACGGAGACACGGCCCAGACUCCUACGGGAGGAAGCAGUGGGGAAUUUUGGACAAUGGGCGCAAGCCUGAUCCAGCCAUGCCGCGUGUCUGAAGAAGGCCUUCGGGUUGUAAAGGACUUUUGUCCGGGAGCAAAUGCCUGGUGUUAAUAGCAUCGGGAGCUGAGAGUACCGGAAGAAUAAGCACCGGCUAACUACGUGCCAGCAGCCGCCGUAACAC